rnacentral:lncRNA from 1 species
UUUUGCUUUUACAUCGUGUGUAAUGGGACAUGUUUGCUAUUAAAAGCGUUCAAUCAGUUCCAAGUGGCUCCAAGUUUUCCCUAUUAUCACCCAUAUUUUUAAUUUCUGAAUUGCACUUUUUCUUCAAAGAAGUCCAUUUUAUCUGAGAGCAACUCGCUUUCAUCUGGAAAUUUCUUUCUCUCUCUCUGGGAUUUUCCUCUAGGUGAGGCUGUCUUCUACUCUCCAGAGAGACCAGAGAGCACAUCCUGAAUGUUUGCAAUGUUGUGGCUGUUUUACAAUACCUGCUUGUCUCUCCAUUCCUGGUGCUGUUUCUUGGCAAAGAAGUUUUCUCUAUAUCCAGUCAAGAGUUAGAAAUAAAAAGCUUGUUUCCUGACACGAUGAAGCUAAAUGGGUUGCAAUUAAGCACUCUGGCUUCCAAAUACAUCAUCUGAGCAUGAGUUGUCGGUUGCUGCAGAGCUGACAUGGCCAGCUAACGUCCAGAUCAAACACAGUCUUCUUUGUUUGAGGAUACCAUGUAGUAAGCAGGUGCUUUGUGAAGUUCCAUAUUGCUCUGGAUUUCAGAGACAGAUGCUGCUUCAUGUACCCAGGAUCUCUUUCAAAUUCAGCUAAUUCAGAUCAGGAAGCUGACCCAACUCAUCAUUUGUUGCACAACGACUGGAGCUGGCAGGACAGGGAACUGCAGCCAGAAACCGCAAGUAAUGCUCGUUUGGCACCAAUAUGGUCUUCGGUGGACUUCAGGAUUUGAUUUUAUAAUGCACUAAUUAGCACCAAGGACAGUGGUUAAUAAAAAAGCACCUUCAGUAGUUUGAAAAACAACAUGGCGUGGUAUUCCAGGACCCAGCUGCAGAUGGUCAUGCUUAGAACCAUCUAAGCAUCCUAUGGAAAGGAUUGUUAGUUUAAACUGACCACGAGAGGUGGUUUGCCACCACUAUAGGUAGAAAAGCGAGGCAUAGAAUAACUGAAUAAAACACAAAAUAAAACUGUAAGGUAAAGUCAAUAGAGAAUUCCCAUUGUGCUUCCUUUUACCAAUUUCUCCAGUAUUUUUCAGAACAGACUAGAAAAAUAUUAAAAAAAAAAAAGUUUAAUGACAAUUUACAAAUAUACAAUACUUACAUUUUCAAAAGUUACAAAAAUGGUACUUUAACAGAAACCAAAAGCUUCAUCUGACCUUUGGUACAUUUCAAAAUUAGUUAUUUACAAAGAAAAAAAUCACAGUCACUUUUCAUAGUGUCAAUGUUUACAUGUAAGCAUCCCUCAGUUAAAAAACAUCUCACAGCUUACCCACAGGCACUUUUUGCAGUUUGAGCUCUGCACCCAUCCAUCACAUUGAGAAUUCUAUCAGCCCCCGUUAAGCUGACAUGACAUUGCAUUAUUAUGUUUUAACAGACUUUAGUUUGAAGAAUAUGUAUAACCAUCACGCUAAACUGAUUCACAGUUGGUGACAUUUCACCUGGUGCAUUUUGUAUUGCUUAUGGCUUGGUACAAUGACACAGGCUUCCUUUUCUAAUUAGCUUGUAAUACACGUUAAGAAAAAAAAAAAUGGACUAAUUUUAUUAGGUAGUAUAAUUCCAUCUCUUCAUAGAGGAAAUUAAAAACAAAAGUGUUCUUCCCAUGCUGUUAUUUCACCUCAUGAAAUUUGUAUAUUAAACCCUUUCUUCACCAUGCACAAUUUUUGCCUAAAGGUAACAGACAAACAGAUGAAGGCUUCCAAAACCUAUUCAUUUCUAUUACUUUUCCCAUUAGUGGACGUUUUCUAGUUUGAACUUAUUUUAACUCAAACUUUAGAAAUUUCCCUUGAGAGCAAACACAAGUAUUGUUUUGUCUGUGUGUGCUUGAGUGUCUUCCUUUAGUUUAAAAUAUUUCCAAUAAAAGAAAUACAGCCAAAAUACAUACAGCCCAUUUUUGAAGCCUCUAACUUAUUAGCGUACACAAUUUUUUCACGUGGUCAUGAUUUUUAGAGCAUGUAACUUCAAUGCGUAACAGAAUGGGAACUCAAAAAGCCUUGAAAUUCAUUGUUUUGAGGACAGUUUGGGACUACACGUUUCCCACAGGUAUGUUUUAGUUAAGACUAAAUACCACCAGAAUAUUAGUUACGGUUCAGGAUCAGGAUCUUUUUUUAAACCAAGAAAUAAGAAAAGCUUGCUGUCAGCAACUGUGGGUGCAGCUUAAAAUGUCUUCCAUCGUUACAACAUUGCCCUCCCAAGAACUUAGAAACUC